GGUUAGCGUAGCAAAAUCUGGUGUUGCAAAAGACCUAAACCCUUUAUAUAGAGGUUCAAGUCCUCUCGCUAACU
rnacentral:tRNA from 1 species